AGCACUAUACGGUGAAACUGCGAAUGGCUCAUUAAAUCAGUUAUCGUUUAUUUGAUAGUACUUUACUACAUGGAUAACCGUGGUAAUUCUAGAGCUAAUACAUGCUAAAAACCCCGACUUCGGAAGGGGUGUAUUUAUUAGAUAAAAAACCAAUGCCCUUCGGGGCUCCUUGGUGAAUCAUAAUAACUUAACGAAUCGCAUGGCCUUGCGCCGGCGAUGGUUCAUUCAAAUUUCUGCCCUAUCAACUUUCGAUGGUAGGAUAGUGGCCUACCAUGGUAUCAACGGGUAACGGGGAAU
rnacentral:rRNA from 1 species